AUACGGAAGGGGGCUAGCGUUAAUCGGAAUCACUGGGCGUAAAGCGCUCGUAGGUGGCUUUGUAAGUCAGGUGUGAAAGCCCACGGCUCAACCGUGGAAUUGCACUUGAUACUGCAUUGCUUGAGUUCGGGAGAGGGUAGUGGAAUUCCAGGUGUAGGAGUGAAAUCCGUAGAGAUCUGGAGGAACACCAGUGGCGAAGGCGACUACCUGGACCGAUACUGACACUGAGGAGCGAAAGCGUGGGGAGC
rnacentral:rRNA from 1 species